AGAGGUCCAGCCUGCCCAGUGACAUAGUUUAACGGCCGCGGUACCCUAACCGUGCGAAGGUAGCAUAAUCACUUGUUCCUUAAAUAGGGACUAGUAUCAACGGCAUCACGAGGGCUACACUGUCUCCUCUCUCUAAUCAGUGAAACUGAUCUCUCCGUGAAGAAGCGGAGAUUUUAAUAUAAGACGAGAAGACCCCAUGGAGCUUAAAACUCAACAUACACCUCUAUUUUUCUACACCAAUUAACCACAAGAGUCUGUAUAUUAGUUUUAGGUUGGGGGGACCGCGGAGUAAAACUCAACCUCCACGACAAACGGGCCAACGCCCUUAUCCAUGAAACACAAUUCUAAGAAUCAACAAUCUGAUGUUUUAUGAUCCGAUAAGUCGAUCAACGAACCAAGUUACCCUGGGGAUAACAGCGCAAUCUACUUUAAGAGCUCCUAUCGACAAGUGGGUUUACGACCUCGAUGUUGGAUCAGGGUAUCCCAGUGGUGCAGCCGCUACUGAUGGUUCGUUUGUUCAACGAU
rnacentral:rRNA from 1 species